rnacentral:rRNA from 1 species
AGCAGCCGCGGUAAUUCCAGCUCCAAUAGCGUAUAUUAAAGUUGUUGCAGUUAAAAAGCUCGUAGUUGAAUUUCGGGGUCAGUAGGUCGGUCGUGCCACUGGUAUGAGCUGGUCUCACUGAUUCCUCCUUCUUGAAGAACCGUAAUGUCAUUAACUUGGUGUUGCGGGGAAACAGGACUGUUACCUUGAAAAAAUUAGAGUGUUUAAAGCAGGCUAGCGCCUGAAUACAUUAGCAUGGAAUAAUGAAAUAGGACGUUCGAUCCUAUUUUGUUGGUUUCUAGGAUUGACGUAAUGAUUAAUAGGGAUAGUUGGGGGCAUUAGUAUUCAAUUGUCAGAGGUGAAAUUCUUGGAUUUAUUGAAGACUAACUACUGCGAAAGCAUUUGCCAAGGAUGUUUUCAUUAAUCAAGACGAAAGUUAGGGGAUCGAAGACGAUCAGAUACCGUCGUAGU